rnacentral:rRNA from 1 species
ACGAGCGCAACCCUUAUUGCCAGUUGCUAACACGUUAUGGUGAGCACUCUGGCGAAACCGCCCCGGAUAACGGGGAGGAAGGUGGGGAUGACGUCAAGUCCUCAUGGCCUUUAUGUCCAGGGCUACACACGUGCUACAAUGGCCGGUACAAACCGUCGCAAACCCGCGAGGGGGAGCUAAUCGGAAAAAGCUGGCCUCAGUUCGGAUUGUAGUCUGCAACUCGACUACAUGAAGCUGGAAUCGCUAGUAAUCGCGGAUCAGCACGCCGCGGUGAAUACGUUCCCGGGCCUUGUACACACCGCCCGUCACAUCACGAAAGUGGGUGG